GUGUGAGCCACUGCGCCCGGCCAAGCAGUUGUAUUUAUUUUUAUGAGUUGGCUGCUCCUGUCUCAUUUUGGGAUUUUCCUAAGACACCUCGGCCUCCCAAAGUGCUGAGAUUACAUGUAUGAGCCACCCCACCCCAUCUCUCUUUCCCCCAUCUUUUAGAAGGUAUUAGUUAUUUCUUAAUGAUAUGAAUCUAAACUAUUUAUAUCUUAAGCUGAUAAAAAGAUCAGCUAAGUAAAUAUUAAAUAAAUUAAGGUAGGAGAUUGUCUUGAAGGUGCUGUCUACCCGCUUCCCCCAGACCUGGAGUCCUAGGGCUUCCGUGAAGGAAAUCCCUUUAGUACUUGGGGAUCUCAGGGAGGAUAUUUUGAUUUCUGGAUACCUCAAAAUUCUGGACCUCUUUGACCACCCUCUUCACCCACCCAGCAAAUGCUAUAGGCUCAGGCUCUGAAAUCUCCCAUUUUUAUCUCCUUUCAAUUUUUUGCUUUUUGUUGGUAAUUUUGCUGUUUCAAACAGCCCCCAAAUAGUGCUGAAGCCCUGUCUAAUGUCCCCCAAGAGCAAGGAGGCCGUGAUGAGCCUCACAGAGGAGGAAAUCCACGUGUUAGAGAAGCUAUCCCCAGGCACGAGUUCUAGCGCUGUUGGCUGUGAGUUUGCUGCUGAUGACACUGACUUCUUGAUGAUUCAUAGCCAGAGGCCCUUGGGACCCUAACUGUAUGUAUAUACAGACAUAUUUUUCUUUCCAUUUGAGAGCAGGUAAUGUUUAUUGAACAGCUUAGAAAAAUAAUUAUAGUACACACCAUAGUUCAUUCUUCUAACAAGCCUGUUGAUCUGGUCCUCCCUGUUGCCAGCAUCUCCACCUUCCACGAAAUGGGUGGUCUGUUUCUUCAUUCUGCCUCAUGGAGAAGAUACUUUGAAGGACCACAGGAAGUUAUGUGCUUCUUUGAAGCGUUUUCCAACAGUAUGGACCUCAUGAAUCACAUCCUCCAUACAGAUGAUGCCAUAUUUUCCAAGAGAUCGUGCAAAGCGUUAUCUGUCAAAGCAAUUCGUUUCUUAUUGAUUUUGCCAUAACCACGCUUGUAGAUUAGUUUAUUUACUGACUUCAGAUUUAGGUACCCGCAUGCAAUGUAUGGCUCUACAAUCCUCAGCAUGUUAAUUGGCCUUCACAAAGGUUCCAUUGAAGAUUUGACAAAGGCAAAGAAGCUGCAACACAUUUCGGACCUUUGGGCUCACACCAUCGAUACCUCUGAUCCUGAUGACAAACGCCAGUCUGGAUUCUGCAGGUUCAUAGAAGUUGCCAGCUUUUCUUGACAUCUUUUCCAUUCGAAUUUCAGUUCUGUACCUCUGCCUAUAUUCCUUGUGAUAGUGCUUCAAUUUUUCAUAGAUAAGCUUCCUCCUUGCCUUUCGAAGCAUCUUUUGGGCAAACUUCUUUCUCAGGCGCUUGGUCUUCAGCUCUGUGAAAUUCCUUCGCUUUUUCUUAGGGGUUUCUGGCACAGCGGGAACUUCCUUCUUCUUCUCUUCUACACCCUCCAUGG
rnacentral:lncRNA from 1 species